GAGUUUGUGGUGGAUGCCUUGGGUCUGAAAGUCGAUGAAGGACGUGAUUACCUGCGAUAAGCCUCGUGGAGCUGGAUAUAAGCUGCGAUACGGGGAUUUCCGAAUGGGGGAACCUAGUUAGAGUAUAAAUCUAACUGCAUUAAGAUGAAUAAAUAGUCUUAAUAGCGAGACACGUUGUGAACUGAAACAUCUUAGUAGCAACAGGAAAAGAAAAUAAAUAAUGAUUCCAUUAGUAGCGGCGAGCGAAAUUGGAAGAGCCCAAACCAACUAUAUGUUGGGGUUGUAGGACUAUCUACAUAAAGUUACAAAUUUUUGAUAUAGCAGAAAAAGUUGGGAAUCUUUAGCAUAGAAGGUGAUACUCCUGUAUGCGAAAUAUCAAAAACUUUUGAUAGUAUCCUGAGUAGGGCGGGGCACGUGAAACCCUGUCUGAAUCUGCCAGGACCAUCUGGUAAGGCUAAAUACUAAUCAGACACCGAUAGUGAACUAGUACCGUGAGGGAAAGGUGAAAAGAACCCCGGGAGGGGAGUGAAAUAGAAUCUGAAACCACUUACUU
rnacentral:ncRNA from 1 species